GGUGGCAUAAUUUAGAGGUAGAAUACUACAUUGUGGUCGAUAUCGCAGAUACUGUAGAAACCUGGGUUCGAGUCCCAGUGCCGCCA